rnacentral:misc_RNA from 1 species
GAUGAAGAACGUAGCGAAAUGCGAUAAGUAAUGUGAAUUGCAGAAUUCAGUGAAUCAUCGAAUCUUUGAACGCACAUUGCGCCCGCCAGUAUUCUGGCGGGCAUGCCUGUCUGAGCGUCAUUUCAACCCUCAAGCAACUUCUGCUUGGUGUUGGGGAUCGGCCGUCAAACGCCGCCCCCGAAAUCUAUUGGCGAUCUCGCUGUAGCUUCCUAUGCGUAGUAGUAACAUCUCGCAUCUGGAGAGCGGCGCGGUCAUGCCGUAAAACCCCCCAACUUUUUAUAGUUGACCUCGAAUCAGGUAGGACUACCCGCUGAACUUAAGCAUAUCAAUAAGCGGAGGA